rnacentral:tRNA from 1 species
UUGCUCUUGUGCGGCAUGGCGGAGGAGCCGCCGCCGCUGCCCUCGGCGAGUUCUGCGGUCUCGGUGCGGGCGAGCAGG